CUUGUACUCCCUCCGUCCGAAAAUACUUGUCAUUGAAAUGGAUGUAUCUAGAUCUAUUUUAGUUCUAGACACAUCCAUUUUGAUGACAAGUAAUUCCGGAUGGAGGGAGUACUUG
rnacentral:pre_miRNA from 1 species